UACGUAGGCAGCGAGCGUUGUUCGGAUUUACUGGGCGUAAAGAGUGCGUAGGCGGUUUUCUAAGUUUGGUGUGAAAUAUCCCGGCUUAACCGGGAGGGUGGCAUUGAUACUGAUGGACUUGAGUGGAGUUGAGGUAGGCGGAAUUGACGGUGUAGCGGUGAAAUGCUUAGAUAUCGUCAAGAACACCGAUAGCGAAGGCAGCUUACUAAGCUCUAACUGACACUGAUGCACGAAAGUGUGGGGAUCAAACAGG
rnacentral:rRNA from 1 species